AUUGAACGCUGGCGGCAGGCCUAACACAUGCAAGUCGAACGAGUGGCGGACGGGUGAGUAAUGUCUGGGAAACUGCCUGAUGGAGGGGGAUAACUACUGGAAACGGUAGCUAAUACCGCAUACCAUCGGAUGUGCCCAGAUGGGAUUAGCUCGGAGGUGGGGUAACGGCUCACCUAGGCGACGAUCCCUAGCUGGUCUGAGAGGAUGACCAGCAAAACUGGAACUGAGACACGGUCCAGACUACGACGGGAGGCAGCAGUGGGGAAUAUUGAACAAUGGGCGCAAGCCUGAUGCAGCCAUGCGGCGUGUAUGAAGAAGGCCUUCGGGGUGUAAAGUACUUGCAGCGGGGAGGCGUUACCCGCAGAAGAAGCACCGGCUAACUCCGUGCCAGCAGCCGCGGUAAUUC
rnacentral:rRNA from 1 species